rnacentral:lncRNA from 1 species
GUCAGCUACAUCAUCAUCCCUGCUCCUCCAUGAUAGGUCAGCUACAUCAUCACCCCUGCUCCUCCAUGAUAGGUCAGCUACAUCAUCACCCCUGCUCCUCCAUGAUAGGUCAGCUACAUCAUCACCCCUGCUCCUCCAUUAUAGGUCAGCUACAUCAUCUCUCCUGCUCCUCCCUGAUAGGUAAGCCACAUAAUUCUGCUCCUCCAUGAUAUGUCAGCUACAUCAUCACUCCUGCUCCUUCAUGAUAGGUCAGCUACAUCAUCACCCCUGCUCCUCCAUGAUAGGUCAGCUACAUCAUCACCCCUGCUACUCUAUGAUAGGUCAGCUACAUCAUCAACCCUGCUCCUCCAUGAUAGGUCAGCUACAUCAUCACCCCUGCUCCUCCAUGAAAGGUCAGCUACAUCAUCACCCCUGCUCCUCCAUGAUAGGUCAGCUACAUCAUCACCCCUGCUCCUCCAUGAUAGGUCAGCUACAUCAUCACCCUGGUCCUCCAUGAUAGGUCAGCUACAUCAUCACCCCUGCUCCUCCAUGAUAUGUCAGCUAAAUCAUCACCCCUGCUCCUCCAUGAUAGGUCAGCUACAUCAUUCUGCUCAUCCAUGAUAGGUCAGCUACAUCAUCACCCCUGCUCCUCCAUGAUAGGUCAGCUACAUCAUCCUGCUCCUCCAUGAUAGAUCAGCUACAUCAUCAUCCUGCUCCUCCAUGACAUGUCAGCUACAUCAUUAUCCUGCUCCUCCAUGAUAGGUCGGCUACAUCAUCAUCCUACUCCUCCAUGAUAGGUCAGCUACAUCAUCACCCCUGCUCCUCCAUGAUAGGUCAACUACAUCAUCAUCCUGCUCCUCCAUGAUAGGUCAAAUACAUCAUCAUCCUGCUCCUCCAUGAUAGAUCAGCUACAUCAUCCUGCUCCUUCAUGAUAGGUCAGCUACAUCAUCACCCCUGUAGCUCCAUGAUAGGCCAGCUAUAUCAUCAACCCUGCUCCUCCAUGAUAGGUCAGCUACAUCAACACCCCUGCUCCUCCAUGAUAGGUCAGCUAC